AAAGCGGAGGAAAAGAAACCAACAGGGAUUGCCCUAGUAACGGCGAGUGAAGCGGCAACAGCUCAAAUUUGAAAUCUGGCUUCGGCCCGAGUUGUAAUUUGCAGAGGAAGCUUUAGGCGCGGCACCUCCUGAGUCCCCUGGAACGGGGCGCCACAGAGGGUGAGAGCCCCGUAUAGUUGGAUGCCUAGCCUGUGUAAAGCUCCUUCGACGAGUCGAGUAGUUUGGGAAUGCUGCUCAAAAUGGGAGGUAAAUUUCUUCUAAAGCUAAAUACCGGCCAGAGACCGAUAGCGCACAAGUAGAGUGAUCGAAAGAUGAAAAGCACUUUGAAAAGAGGGUUAAAUAGCACGUGAAAUUGUUGAAAGGGAAGCGCUUGUGACCAGACUUGCGCCGGGCUGAUCAUCCGGUGUUCUCACCGGUGCACUCUGCCCGGCUCAGGCCAGCAUCGGUUCUCGCGGGGGGAUAAAGGCCCUGGGAACGUAGCUCCUCCGGGAGUGUUAUAGCCCGGGGCGUAA
rnacentral:rRNA from 1 species